rnacentral:rRNA from 1 species
CUUGUAAAUAAUAAAAUAAUUUAAUAGUUAUUUUUUGGGUGGGAGGUCAUAAAAGCUAUACAACACUUUAAAUUAAAAAGAAAUAUAUCUACUAAAUCAACCCCAAUAAGAAUAUAAGUAAGCUACUCUAGGGGUAACAGGCUAAUGCUCCUUAAGAGGACAUAUUGACAGGAGUGUUUGGCACCUCGAUGUUGGCUUAGGAAGCUUAUUUUAUGCAGAAGCAAAAUUUAUCGGUUUGUUCAACCUUUAAUAUCCUAUAUGAAUCUGA